rnacentral:misc_RNA from 1 species
CCGACCUCCCUGCCUCCUCCUUUCCCGUUCCCCGUGGCAGACGCGUACGCGGAGAAACAUCGAAAGGCUCGACCUUUCUUGCACACGCCUUUACCAAAGCACAGACGUAGACGUGCUGGCAUCGCCGCACCUUUCUCCGUCCCCGUGCCCGUUUCGUCCCCUUCGUUGCGGCUUGCAAGCCACCCAGGUGAACACCUCCAUGCAUGUCUGUGGAUCUCUGUGCUUGGGCGGCCUUUGAUCGUUCCAUCGCUCUAUACAGCCAAUGGAGAUUUGCUUCGUGGAGCCAUGUCCGCUGAUGCGCGUAUUGCUAUCAUCGCCGUCGUGCACCUUGCGCUGACGUGGGUACUGCUGCGCUACAUCGCCGAUUCGGCCAUGCCCUUCUACGUGCACCGCGAAGGCAGCAGCCCUGCCGGUGCCGCCAACGGUGCCUCUGUUCGCAGGGCGGCAGCGCACGAAUGGGACCAGUGGUCGCCCUUUCUCGUGCCGAGCCAGGAGGCGUACGCUGCACAGCUCGGCCGACAGCAGCGCGCGAUAUCGGCUGCCGAUGCUGUCGCCCUCAACAGUCGUGUGGUGUGGCGCAGCAGCGCGUUCCACCUCACGCUCGCCAUCUUCACAUACGCGUUGCUGAGGUUUGGCGUUACGGCCCCGUACGGCCGUCACUCCUGGGCCCUCGGCUUCCAGCUUACCCUCCCCUCGCGCGUCAGCUGGAUGUUGCAGGAGAGUCCGACCAUCUUCCAGGUGAUCUACCACGUCUUUCUGGAGUACCCGCGCCUCAUGGGGCACAGCCCUUCAUGGCCAUCGCUGUGGCCAUCGUCCUCCUCUGCCUCCGGCCCGACUGCUGCUGGGAUGCCCAGCAGCCAUUCUUCGGCGGACACAUGCCAUUCCUACUGGGGCUGUGUGCGGGCCGCCUGCACGCAGCAGCACCUUGGACUCCUGCUCUUUGUUAUCCACUACGUCCACCGCAGCUGGCUCUAUCCGCUGUCGAUCCCCGCCACCGCACAUGAUGUGCCGCUCGUCGUUACGUGGAUGGCGACCAUGUACUGUCUCUUCAAUGGCCGCCUACAGGUGCUGGCGAGCGCAGGUGCGGCUGCCACGGCCUGUGCAACCGACACAGCAGCGCCGUCUUUGGCAUGCACUCCCGCGUACACGGCGUCGAUGGGCUUUGUGCGGUGUUGGCGCGAGCGCCACGAGCUGCAGUCCCUCCACUCCUCCUCCGCCUCCGUCGGAGCUGUCGCGGUUCGCGUUGGCUGGCGGCUUCUUUUGGGCCUCUACGCUGUUGGCGUCUUGGGCGGCUCAGCGCUGUUCUUCCUCGGACAAAGGAUUAACAUGCAGGCGGACUACUACCUGGUGCGUCUGCGCCGCGGUGACAAGGGCAGCAUCAGCCACGGUGGCAGCAAGCCGGUCGGACGGAGGGCGGCGAAUCUGCACGGGGAUGCGCUGGCGACGUCGUCGUCGCUUGAGGCGUCUCGUGAUGCUCAGCACCGCAGCAGCAUUGACGGCUAUCGCAUCCCCGUCGGCGGCUGGUUUGACUCCGUCAGCUGCGCGAACUUCUUCGGCGAGCUUGUCGAGUGGACGGGCUACGUCAUCGUCGUCGCGGCGACUUCUGCUGCUAGCAACGGCAACUGCCUCUCCGUGACGACUGCCCUCGAGGAGGAACUACUUCAGCCGCUCUCGUCGUCGUCUUGGUGGUCACUGAUGAACCCGAUCAUGUGGCUGCGCCUCGUUGCGCGCGUGUUCUUCGGCGGGUCGGAGUCACGCCCGGCAGCGCUGGCGGCGUUUAGCUUCCUGGUGUACGUCUUCAGCAACUUGGCCCCGCGUGCGGUGGCGCAUCAUGCGUGGUACGCCAAGACGUUCGGUGAUCCCUACACGAGGCUCGGCCGCCAGGCGCUCAUACCCGGUGUGUACUAGGCGGGCGAGGCCGACGUGCUGCUCCUCCUCUUCGUCGAUCAGUCCUCAUCUCUUAGGCAAACGCUCGGGCGUGAGAACGGCAGACACGGAUGAAGCCCCUCCACGCACGCACACGCAGCCAGAGCGUGCUGCCCCCCUUUCCCUUGCUCUAUGUAUAUCUAACGCUGCCAACUGCGCCCAUUCGCUUCUACUAUACGGGAGUGGUGGAGCGGUGUGCACAGAUCUGUG